AGUAUUUGCUUCCAUUUGCAUGUAGUUCAAAAACAGGCAAGAACCGACAAUGUGUAAGAAGUCAGCAUGGGGCUACCUUUGGGAAGGAAAGUAAUUGUACUUAUGGGGAAUCACCUGGACUCCCCUCUGACCUCAGAGGUAUAUUCACCUGCCUUCCCUUCAUUUCCCGUGGGAUUUCUGCACAGAGUGGCAGAUAAAUGCCUUGGUCUGCAAACAUGCUGUAUAGCUGCUGCUGAG
rnacentral:lncRNA from 1 species